rnacentral:rRNA from 1 species
UACAGAGGGGGGCUAGCGUUGUUCGGAAUUACUGGGCGUAAAGGGCGCGUAGGCGGCCCUCUAAGUCGAACGUGAAAUCCCCGGGCUCAACCCGGGAACUGCGUCCGAUACUGGAGGGCUCGAAUCCGGGAGAGGGAUGUGGAAUUCCAGGUGUAGCGGUGAAAGUGCGUAGAUAUCUGGAGGAACACCGGUGGCGAAGGCGGCUCACUGGACCGGUUCUGACGCUGAAGCGCGAAAAGCGUGGGGAGCAAACGGG